CUCUGAGUUCAUCUAUUGACAGGGUUUACCUCCAGACCCACACACUCUCUGAGUUCAUCUAUUGGCAGGGUUUACCUCCAGACCCACACACUCUCAGAGUUCAUCUAUUGGCAGGGUUUACCUCCAGACCCACACACUCUCUGAGUUCAUCUAUUGGCAGGGUUUACCUCCAGACCCACACACUCUCUGAGUUAAUCUAUUGGCAGUGUUUACCUCCAGACCCACACACUCUCUGAGUUCAUCUAUUGGCAGGGUUUACCUCCAGACCCACACAUUCUCUGAGUUCAUCUAUUGGCAGGCUUUACCUCCAGACCCACACACUCUCUGAGUUCAUCUAUUGGCAGGGUUUACCUCCAGACCCACACACUCUCUGAGUUCCUCUAUUGACAGGGUUUACCUCCAGACCCACACACUCUCUGAGUUCAUCUAUUGGCAGGGUUUACCUCCAGACCCACACAUUCUCUGAGUUCAUCUAUUGGCAGGGUUUACCUCCAGACCCAUACAUUAUGUCCAUGGUGCUGUCAAAGUGACCAUGUGGUCCAGUAGAUGGAGUGGUUGUGGUGGUAUAAAGGUCCAUAGCUACACAGACUGGGCACAUUAAUCAGUGUCCAAUUUACACAGCACCAUCCAGAGGUGAGGAUGGGUUCUGAACUUUUGAUUGCAAACAUAGAGGGCAUCUGUUAGGGACUGGGUUUACCAGACCUAGGGCUAGGCUAGACAAAGGGUUUACCAGACCUAGGGCUAGGCUAGACGAAGGGUUUACCAGACCUAGGGCUAGGCUAGACGAAGGGUUUACCAGACCUAGGGCUAGGCUAGACGAAGGGUUUACCAGACCUAGGGCUAGGCUAGACGAAGGGUUUACCAGACCUAGGGCUAGGCUAGACAAAGGGUUUACCAGACCUAUGGCUAGGCUAGAUGAAGGGUUUACCAGACCUAGGGCUAGGCUAGACGAAGGGUUUACCAGACCUAGGGCUAGGCUAGACGAAGGGUUUACCAGACCUAGGGCUAGGCUAGACGAAGGGUUUACCAGACCUAGGGCUAGGCUAGACGAAGGGUUUACCAGACCUAGGGCUAGGCUAGACGAAGGGUUUAACAGACGUAGGGCUAGGCUAGACGAAGGGUUUAACAGACGUAGGGCUAGGCUAGACGAAGGGUUUACCAGACCUAGGGCUAGGCUAGACGAAGGGUUUACCAGACCUAGGGCUAGGCUAGACGAAGGGUUUACCAGACCUAGGGCUAGGCUAGACGAAGGGUUUAACAGACGUAGGGCUAGGCUAGACGAAGGGUUUACCAGACCUAGGGCUAGGCUAGACGAAGGGUUUACCAGACCUAGGGCUAGGCUAGACGAAGCGUUUACCAGACCUAGGGCUAGGCUAGACGAAGGGUUUACCAGACCUAGGGCUAGGCUAGACGAAGGGUUUAACAGACGUAGGGCUAGGCUAGACGAAGGGUUUAACAGAUGUAGGGCUAGGCUAGACGAAGGGUUUACCAGACCUAGGGCUAGGCUAGACGAAGGGUUUACCAGACCUAGGGCUAGGCUAGACGAAGGGUUUACCAGACCUAGGUUUAGAGGAAGGGAUCCCCAUGACAACAUCAACUGAACGAAUUACAAUCUGAACAUUCUAAAAUGGUGGUGGGGGGGGGGUGAAUGGAGAAAUGAAUGAACAGGGUAGAGAGAGCCCAUCCCACCCUCACCAGGGCCUCUCGUCUCUGAAGUCAGUGCCCACCCCGUUUCUCUCUCACUCCUCUCCCUGCCUCAUGCUGCCAGCCAGCAGGGAAACUAGGUCACUGAACUCUGUCUGCUCUCUGUUUUUUGUAUAUAAAUUAAAGCCAAAAGGCUGAACUCUCCCUCUCUAGCUGGUCAGCCGUCGCCACAAAGCUUUUCACCAGAGGAGGGUUAGAGUAAAAAAACACAUACAGGCAGGCAGUCACACACACAUACAGGCAGGCAGUCACACACACAAACAGGCGCACACACAGACAAACAGGCACACACACAGACAAACAGGCACACACACACACACACAAACAGACACACACACACACAAACAUGCAGGCACACACACAAACAGGCAGGCAGUCACACAAACAGGCAGUCACACACACAAACAGGCAGUCACACACACAUACAGGCAGGCACACACACAAACAGGCAGGCACACACACAUACAGACAGGCGGUCACACACACAAACAGGCAGGCGGUCACACACACAAACAGGCAGGCAGUCACACACACAAACAGGCAAGCAGUCACACACAUACAAACAGGCAGGCACACAAACAGGCAGUCACACACACAAACAGGCAGGCACACACACAUACAGGCAGGCACACACACAUACAGGCAGGCACACACACAUACAGGCAGGCACACACACACAAACAGGCAGGCACACACACAGGCAGGCAGGCAGGCACACACACACACAAACAGGCAGUCACACACACAAACAGGCAGUCACACACACAAACAGGCAGUCACACACAAUCAGGCAUGCAUGCAUGCAGACAGACAGCAUAAAACACUAAAACAUGCAUGCAGACAGACAGACAGGGUAAAACACUAAAACAUGCAAGCGCGCCCUCACACACACAGUAAACAAACCCAGAUAUCCAGUAUAAUCCUCUCUGGCUAAAUAUGUUUGGGAUUUUUAAGGAGCGGGUCAAAAUAAGUCAUGCUGCGCCGGAGGCUGCAGUGCUAUCUCUGACAAGCCAAGGGAGGAUUUGUGCUGUGCAGAUUCACUGCAUAUUUCUAUUUCUGCCUCGGCCACUCUUAAUCACUGUGAUCACACACACGGAGAGUGCUCCACACAUGGACACACUCUCUAGCCUCCUCUUUGGUGGCCAGUAUUUCUAUCUCCCUCCAGGCAGGCAUGGUCGGAGCAAACCACCUCCAUGUCACUGGACCGACCUCCAGUGUGAUUUCAGAGUCAGAUGAUGUCACCAGUAACAGGUGUUAAGUAGGCUAGGUUUCCCUGGCAACAGUGGAAUCCUCAGACAUGACUGUUCUCCCCAGUCCAAUCCCCUCUGUCCAUUCAUCCCUUCAUCUCUCUCUCCUCCUCUGUCUCUCUUGCUCAUUGAGGCCAGAGAGAGAGAGAGGAGUGUUCUGGUAGCGUGGUCCCAGACCUGUUUGUUCAGACUGGCGAAUUCAUGACAAUGACAAUAGGAGUUGGCAAGACAGCACAAACAGAUCUGGGACCAGGCUAGAGUUCUAGGCUGCUGGGUGGAGAAAGCUGAAAUUGACACGGAUCCAAUUCCAGGUUCCACAUAUUUCAAUAUAAAAAUAAGCUGUUUGAAUCAUUAACCCUUUGGGCACGCUCUGUCAUGUAAUGUUCUGCACCUUUGUCUUCUCCAGGAGUGUUUAUAUUAUAGGGGAUAUGCCAAUUGCCAACAGUUGAAAAUGUAAAAUGUGUAAGUCAAUUCAUUCUCAGUGGGUUGAUAUGGUUCUGUAAUUUGCUGGUUUUGAGGACCAAUAGCAAUAACUUUUAUGUUGGAUUUAUGUUUUCUUUUUUAGAAUUAAACCCUAUCUGUCAUAGUUGAAAAGAAGCGGUACUUUUUCCUGAAAGGGUUAAAAACAAAAAGCUAAUUGACGCCAAUGAAUAAUUAAGCUAUAACGAGAGUCACAGUAUGUGCUUAUCACAGGAACAUUUGGGGCACUAAAUUGUGAUAGCUAGCAAUAUUAGUGCCACUUACAAGGGAUGCCAUUCAUUGACUGAAGUGCCACAGCAGUGCGCAAAGGGUUAAUUCAAGACUAAGGCCACAAGAGGCCUGUAUCCAAGUUAUUUUUUGCACAUUUUUUUAGAUAUUUUAAAUGUCAGUAUUUUAAAACAUAUUCCAAGUGCCUUUUAUUAUAAGUGAAAAUAUAGAAGAUAUAAAAGUAUAUGAAAAAUGAAAUAUAUAUAUAUGAAUAUAUAUUUUUUCCUGGCAUCGUGUUCUCGAGGUUCUUGAACAUGCUUAAUUUUAGAGUUGUAAAAGUCUCCAAUUGGUACAACAUUGCUGUGUGCUUCUGUUUUAGAGGAAUUUUAUUACGAUAAUGUCAAUGGAAAGAAAAUGUUUAAUAAAGUCGCAUUUGAUACAA
rnacentral:lncRNA from 1 species